rnacentral:sRNA from 1 species
CCCUAGCCCCGAUUGCAGCGGAAAUCCUUUUUGAGUUUGCUGCAGCGCAGCGGAAGCGAACUUGAAAAGAUUGCAGCGAAAAGCGGGAAAAAGC